rnacentral:lncRNA from 1 species
GGUCAGGAUCCCUAAUGGACCUUGAGAUGAGGAACUCAGAUGACGUUAUUAAAAAAAAUAUUAGUCCGCCAUACAAUUGUGGAUGCUGUGAUUUUAAAAAUGGACAUAAAUGAACAAUAAGAACUGUUUUAUAGAGCUGAUGUGAUGAGAAAAGAAAUAUGUAGAUUUGACCUGAAAUAAAUUAUUAGAAAGGACAUUUUUUUUUUUAUUGAAUUUUAUGAUCAGAAUUUUGGGAUUAUUUCAUGAGGAGAGUGACAUUUUUCACCAUCUUCC